rnacentral:tRNA from 1 species
AAGAUGCUAGUAACAAAAAUAACGCUACCUUGUCAAGGCAGAAUUGUGAGUUAAAAUCUCACGCAUCUUA